UCGGUGAUGAUCGGUGCUUGCACCGAGAUUCAACAUGGAACGAGUGGCGGACGGGUGAGUAACACGUGGGUAACCUGCCCUUAAGUGGGGGAUAACAUUUGGAAACAGAUGCUAAUACCGCAUAGAUCCAAGAACCGCGUGGUUCUUGGCUGAAAGAUGGCGUAAGCUAUCGCUUUUGGAUGGACCCGCGGCGUAUUAGCUAGUUGGUGAGGUAAUGGCUCACCAAGGCGAUGAUACGUAGCCGAACUGAGAGGUUGAUCGGCCACAUUGGGACUGAGACACGGCCCAAACUCCUACGGGAGGCAGCAGUAGGGAAUCUUCCACAAUGGACGCAAGUCUGAUGGAGCAACGCCGCGUGAGUGAAGAAGGCUUUCGGGUCGUAAAACUCUGUUGUUGGAGAAGAAUGGUCGGCAGAGUAACUGUUGUCGGCGUGACGGUAUCCAACCAGAAAGCCACGGCUAACUACGUGCCAGCAGCCGCGGUAAUACGUAGGUGGCAAGCGUUAUCCGGAUUUAUUGGGCGUAAAGCGAGCGCAGGCGGUUUUCUAAGUCUGAUGUGAAAGCCCUCGGCUUAACCGAGGAAGCGCAUCGGAAACUGGGAAACUUGAGUGCAGAAGAGGACAGUGGAACUCCAUGUGUAGCGGUGAAAUGCGUAGAUAUAUGGAAGAACACCAGUGGCGAAGGCGGCUGUCUGGUCUGUAACUGACGCUGAGGCUCGAAAGCAUGGGUAGCGAACAGGAUUAGAUACCCUGGUAGUCCAUGCCGUAAACGAUGAAUGCUAGGUGUUGGAGGGUUUCCGCCCUUC
rnacentral:rRNA from 1 species